rnacentral:rRNA from 1 species
GACGAACGCUGGCGGCGUGCUUAACACAUGCAAGUCGAGCGGUAAGGCCCUUUCGGGGGUACACGAGCGGCGAACGGGUGAGUAACACGUGGGUGACCUGCCCUCAGCACUGGGAUAAGCCUGGGAAACCGGGUCUAAUACUGGAUAUGACUCCAUGACGCAUGUUGUGGGGUGAAAGCCUUGUGCGGCUGAGGAUGGGCCCGCGGCCUAUCAGCUUGUUGGUGGGGUGANGGCCUACCAAGGCGACGACGGGUAGCCGGCCUGAGAGGGCGACCGGCCACACUGGGACUGAGACACGGCCCAGACUCCUACGGGAGGCAGCAGUGGGGAAUCUUGCGCAAUGGGCGAAAGCCUGACGCAGCGACGCCGCGUGAGGGAUGAC